rnacentral:rRNA from 1 species
CAGUCGCCACGGUAAUACGAAGGGGGCUAGCGUUGCUCGGAAUGACUGGGCGUAAAGGGCGCGUAGGCGGUGCGGAUAGUCAGAUGUGAAAUUCCUGGGCUUAACCUGGGGGCUGCAUUUGAUACGUCCGCGCUUGAGUGUGGAAGAGGGUCGUGGAAUUCCCUGUGUACAGGUGAAAUUCGUAGAUAUUGGGAAGAACACCGGUGGCGAAGGCGGCGACCUGGUCCAUAACUGACGCUGAGGCGCGAAAGCGUGGGGAGCAAACAGGAUUAGAUACCCGUGUAGUCCCUGUCUCUUAUAC